GGUGAGGUGGGUGAGUGGCUGAAACCAGCAGUUUGCUAAACUGCCGAACUCGUAAGGGUUCCGGGGGUUCGAAUCCCCCCCUCACCGCAA
rnacentral:tRNA from 1 species